UAACCUCCCCGUUCGCAGAAAAAAAGCGCUAACCUCCCUGUAGCCACCUCCACACAAAUGUACCGUAGAAAAAGGAAACACACUACUAUUUCGUUUUUCUAUACACAUCGUCUCUCCCUCCCCAAUUCCUCCAUGGCCACUGGGUUGUCGCCGCCACAUCUGAUUCCGGAUAGCUCCGGUGACCGCUGCUCGCCGGCCCAGCGCGCUCUCGGUGCUCACCUCCCAUCUUCCACCGUGUCCAUGUCCUUCAUGCCCCUGGACGAGCCCCCGCAGCAACCCUAGGCACCACGGGUCGCCGUAGCGGAUCCAGCGCCUCCUCUGUUUUUAGUCUCACUACCCCAUGUAUCCUCACGCGCUGUUACCAGCUCGGGCACGAAGGUGCUGCUCCACCUCGGCUACCUCUACUCUGAUCCGACACCGACGAUUCAUUAUUAUGAGGAUAAAGGAGCCGGAAACGACAUCAGUGAUAUUUGCUUCAGGAAAGAUGGCAUGCACAGAAGGAAAGAGUGAAGAACACUCUCAAGCUUACUGUCAGGAAGUAUGCAGAGUUGCCCAAAAGCUUGGCUUCACAACUACAUUUUAGGUAGUGCUUCUUAUCACUUGCAUUUUAGGUUAUAACACAUUUUGGAUUACCUUGUUUGCUCAGUUUAUUUGUAUGGAAUUGUUACAAGUUUCUAUUUUCUCGGUAAACAAGUGAAUUAAGAAAGUGAAUCAUGUUUAACAAAUGUUGGUAUAUACAAGUACGCUGACACUAUUUAGUCUGCAUGAAAUGUUGUGGUCUUCAAAAUUGUGUUAGAAUAAUAUUUAGAUUAGGAGUACAUGUUGGUUUAACUAGCUAAUGGAUUUUGUAUUUAGUUAGGGGCUGUUCGGUAAUCCUCCCGCUCCGUGAAAUCUGAGGAUCUGUGGAGCGCCUCCUUCCCCACUCCCCGAUUUUGAACUGCCGCUCCUCCAGCUCCGGGAGCGGAGUUGUGGAGGGGAGGGAAUCCGAACAGGACUUUAGUCUAGGUUCAUCAGUUAGUUUUCCAGCAUGCCCGUUUUGCAUGUUGUAACUUGUAAGCAUGUGUGUGCUUAUAGGUGAGUCCUAGUCCGUAUAGGACGGAGUUUGCAUAGCUAGCUGCCGAUAUGCUGUACUAGUACGUAUUGGAGUUAGUGUGCCUUACCACUUUAGGAAAAGGGUGUUCGAGUCCGAGUCAUUUUAGAUGCUCAGUCAGAGUAGGUUUAGGUUAUUUUGGUCAUUUAGCAGGUCAUAGUUGUGGAACCAGGUCAUGUAGAGUUUUUCCCUAACAAAAUCAAGGUCACGGGAGAGUUUUUUUGAAAAAAUAGAAUAAAGAGUUUGAUUCUGUGGGCAAAACCAAACGUAGAUUACCAAUUCCAAUAUGUAUGCCGAAUCUGCAGGUUACAGAAACCAGAUAUGAUUCCAAAUCGUUAUUCUGGGUGCUAAAAUCUAGAAAAUCACAGUGCCAGUUGAAUUUGCGAUGAGGUAUUUUUCUAAUUGUCGUUAUAUAUUGUUUCUUCACUAGUUCAAAGGGAUUUUUUAAUUUGUAAUAUCAUUCCUUGAAUAUUUUUUAUUAUCUAGCAUAUGCUUCUCUUUUUUUCCCACCUAGUUUUCACAAGAGAACACUUUUCUUGCAUCUGAAAAUGGCCAUACAUCUUCUGUGAGACAAGACUCUGUGCGGUUAGAUUAGGUAAAACAAUUCAUCAACUACUGUAUGCUUGCCUUAUGUUCCCUACUUCCUAUUAAAAACCUCUGUUUCUAUUAACAUGGUGAAAAUUAAUAGUGGAAUGAACUGAGUUGGUUUACUUUAAGCUAAAAUAACUAUUUAUAUCUAUAGAUGUCAUUCCUGUAGAUCUAACUAGUCUGGAUUUUGAGCUAGGACAUAUCCAACUAUAUGUUUUCACUCAUGCUACAUUGCUGACCAGUCACGUUAAUUUACUUGAUAUCAAUUAGCUAUGCAUUUUAGUAUUGAAAUGUGAGAUGAUGCCUAAUGAAGUUUUUCUCAACAGAGUAGAUUGCUAUUUCAGACUAAAAAUCUAUACAAGAAUGUUGCUCUUGUUACAUUCCAAAGUAUCGACCAAGAAUAUAAAGCUAAAGUUGACGGUGUUAAAAGCUUGGUAUUGCAAGUUAAUGCUACAUUAGCAGAAUCUGAUAAGUUGAUGCAAUCACUAAAAAAUCAAAAUUAUUUGUCAUACCGCAAGAUUAAUUACCAUAUUGCCUUGAACUUUUUGUAUGCUCCUCCUCUCAGUUUUACCACCUUGUUAGAUCUCAUUUCUUUGUUGUUGUAGAUUGCCAAGAUAAAUUGUUGAUGCAUGGGUCGGAUGUUGAUUGCAAGCUCACGGAUGGGGAUGCUACUAGAUAGUUUCACAUUAUGUUUUAUAAUGCCAUUUUCAUGGUCAAUGUUUCCACUUUCAAACAGUAUGUUUCAGAAUGGUUGAGUUGUUCGGUGUAAUCUUUGUAUUGUGUUCUUUGUAAUACAACCAAGUUAAUUUAAUAUAUGAGGCAUUUAUUAUUAUUA